rnacentral:lncRNA from 1 species
CGGAAUACCACCAGCUGCCAGGGAGAACGAGCUUGGAGCUAGCGGCAGGGCUUAACCCGGCGAAGCUCUGAGAUGGGUUGCUGAAGGAUUCCGGGAGGCAGCUGCAACAGGGCAUCACUCACUGUCCAGGCAUAUCCGUUUCUGAGUGCAAAAGGAAGAACUUGAGCGAGCGGCAAUUGGAGUGAAAAUUGCUUUGUAGUAUCUAAAAGCAGCAUGGAUCGUGGGCAGCUGAGCUGCAACAAAUCAACAGAAAUUCAUGUGAAAAUCAUUGACCACCAUAUGCUGCUCCAGCUUCCUUCAGCUCCUAAUUCUAGGAGCUUGACAACUAAAGCAAACCACAGACAGCCACAGGCACUCACUGCCAGCCCUGACAAAAAAAAUCACAAAAGUCGCCUCACAGGGUGGCAGCCAGCAACUCCUGUGGAAGGUCCAGCAGACCAGGCUAUCCAUACAGCUGUGGUCCCUCAACUCCCUCCCAGCAGCCCAGACUUGAAGCUGCUCAAGGAGCAAAGAGUACCUCUGACGCCAUACUUGCAGGUGAUUUUAAACUGCUGCUACUGCUACUGCUAAGUCACUUCAGUCGUGUCCAACUCUGUGUGACCCCAUAGAUGGCAGCCCACCAGGCUCCCCUGUCCCUGGGAUUCUCCAGGCAAGAACACUGGAGUGGGUUGCCAUUUCCUUCUCCAAUGAUUUUAAACUAGAUAGUUAAAAACUGACUUGUUUGAUUCUGACCUGUAUAUAAUUUUUG